UACGGGGGGGAGCAAGCGUUGUUCGGAUUCACUGGGCGUAAAGGGUGCGUAGGUGGUCGGGUAAGUCUGAUGUGAAAGCUCGGAGCUCAACUUGGGAAUGGCAUUGGAAACUGGCGGGCUGGAGUGCGGCAGAGGGGGGUGGAAUUCCACGUGUAGCAGUGAAAUGCGUAGAGAUGUGGAGGAACACCGAUGGCGAAGGCAGCCCCCUGGGUCAAGAUUGACGCUCAUGCACGAAAGCGUGGGGAGCAAACAGG
rnacentral:rRNA from 1 species